rnacentral:rRNA from 1 species
CCUACGGGUGGCAGCAGUGAGGAAUAUUGGUCAAUGGGCGCGAGCCUGAACCAGCCAAGUCGCGUGAGGGAAGACGGCCCUACGGGUUGUAAACCUCUUUUGCCGGGGAGCAACGUGCGCCACGUGUGGCGCCACUGAUAGUCCCCGUAGAAAAAGCAUCGGCUAACUCCGUGCCAGCAGCCGCGGUAAUAGGGGGGAUCCGAGCGUUAUCCGGAUUUAUUGGGUUUAAAGGGUGCGUAGAUGGGUUGUUAAGUCAGUUGUGAAAGUUUGCGGCUCAACCGUAAAAUUGCAAUUGAUACUGGCAGUCUUGAGUAUAGUUGAGGUAGGCGGAAUUCGUGGUGUAGCGGUGAAAUGCUUAGAUAUCACGAAGAACUCCGAUUGCGAAGGCAGCUUACUAAGCUGCGACUGACAUUGAUGCUCGAAAGUGUGGGUAUCAAACAGGAUUAGAUACCCUUGUAGUC